GGGCUUGUAGCUCAGUGGUAGAGCAUUUGCCUCACACACAUGAGGCCCUGAAUUCAAUCCUCAGCACCA
rnacentral:tRNA from 1 species